AGUGAGCGCUGGCGGUAGGCCUAACACAUGCAAGUCGAACGGCAGCACAGUAAGAGCUUGCUCUUACGGGUGGCGAGUGGCGGACGGGUGAGGAAUACAUCGGAAUCUACUUUUUCGUGGGGGAUAACGUAGGGAAACUUACGCUAAUACCGCAUACGACCUACGGGUGAAAGCAGGGGAUCUUCGGACCUUGCGCGAUUGAAUGAGCCGAUGUCGGAUUAGCUAGUUGGCGGGGUAAAGGCCCACCAAGGCGACGAUCCGUAGCUGGUCUGAGAGGAUGAUAAGCCACACUGGAACUGAGACACGGUCCAGACUCCUACGGGAGGCAGCAGUGGGGAAUAUUGGACAAUGGGCGCAAGCAUGAUCCAGCCAUACCGCGUGGGUGAAGAAGGCCUUCGGGUUGUAAAGCCCUUUUGUUGGGAAAGAAAAGCAGCAGGUUAAUACCCCGCUGUUCUGACGGUACCCAAAGAAUAAGCACCGGCUAACUUCGUG
rnacentral:rRNA from 1 species